UUACGGCCAUAUCAUGUCGAAACACCGUUUCUCGUACAAUCUCGGAAGUUAAGCAACGUCGAGCCUGGUCAGUAGUGACCGCUUGGAAAUAUCAGGUGCUAUAA